rnacentral:rRNA from 1 species
CCUACGGGAUGCUGCAGUGAGGAAUAUUGGUCAAUGGGAGGAAUCCUGAACCAGCCAUGCCGCGUGCAGGCCGACGGCUCUCCGAGUUGUAAACUGCUUUUGUACCGGGGUAAAAUGCUCUACGAGUAGGGUUUUGAAAGUACGGUACGAAUAAGGAUCGGCUCACUCCGUGCCAGCAGCCGCGGUAAUCCGGAGGAUCCGAGCUUUAUCCGGAGUCAUUGUGUUUAAAGGGUGCGUAGGUUGUUUUAUAAGUUAGCGGUGAAAUACCGAGGCUAAAAAGCGGGGCUGCCGCUGAUACUGUAGGACUAGAGAUCGGAUGCAGCAGGCGGAAUGUGUAGUGUAGCGGUGAAAUGCAUAGAUAUUACACAGAACACCGAUUGCGAAGGCAGCUUGCUAGGCCGGAUCUGACACGGAUGCACGAAAGCGUGGGGAUCGAACAGGAUUAGAUACCCGGUAGUC